AACACAUCACUGCAGGCACAAUCAGAACAGCUGAGCAGCUGGAUCAGGUGUGCAUGGAGCUGCUCCAAUUGCCAUGCAAGCCGAAGACCAAGUGUCCAUCAAAGGAAUCAGCCAGCAAGAGCUACUUUGGAAGUGCUCUGGGGCGGCAGUGACAGGUGCAUGUCAUUACAGUAACUCCAAAAGCCAUUGAAAAGAGCCAAUAACAGAGAAGCUCCACAACUCCAAGAAAGAGCAAGCAUAACUAACCGUAAACAACCUAAUGGAUACUUUCACUUCACAUCUGCCUUUGGGUAACUGGCAGACAUUGGCACAUAUGGAUGAAGCACUGAACUGGAAGCCAUGACACCUACAUACCAUUCAUGGUUCACUGUGUGAACUUUCUGUGCCACAUCAUCAGCAGGAGAGAAAACGAGUGAUGCGAAAUCCUGGAGCCUUGCAUGGCUGCAGAUCCUCGUGCCUUGGGUGCAUCUCGUCUCCCCGCCCGCCCCGCCUUGACAUCUGCCGCUUCUCUCCCCCCUGCGCUUCCCACCGCAAAGCUGCUGCCGCGGCUCCGGCUCGGGAGGAGCAAGGAGGCUCAGCCUAACCCCACCACCUCGCCGGCUGGGGAGCCUGACGGACAGCGGCCUCCGCCCAAUCGGAGCUGGCGGAUCGAGGGGGGGCGGGUCGCGGAGCCCGUUUCACGCUCGGUUGGCCGGCAGCGCUCCGCCUCUCCCCAGCCGCGUCCCCCGGAGCUGUCAGUGGCCCUGGUGCUGCAGCGGGCGGCGGCUUUGCACCGUAGCCGGCGGGCGGCUGCUGCACAGGCGGGAGGGGAGCCAGUGCCAGGUGGACCCCAGACAGGAGCCCGCCUUGCCCUCGUUCUGCGAGGGGUGGAAGCUCGGCAGCGGCCGCGGGGGCUGGCCCAGUCCCCUCUUCAUUGCCACGGGAACUCCUCCCACCAGCGUGCGACUCCCUGAUUGCUGGCCAGAGCGUCUCCUUUUAUUUAUUUAUUUAGUUCACCUCGGCGUGUUGCAACUUAGUCAACUUCAUUUCCCUGAAAAGAGACAUUUGCGGUGCCUUUUAAGGUGCGUGGCCCUGCACGCCUGCCCACACAGAGAUUUCACCCUUGCCCAGUCAGAGCUUGCCAAGCGCCUACCUUUCUUGCAUCGACAGAGGACAAAUCAAGACGACCCUUGAUUGGCACUAGGGUUGUUUUCAAGAGAUGCCUGAAAUUCUUAAUUUUGCUUGCGUGGAAUUUCUUGUGCCCGUUUGCUGCCAUCUUACCACACACGUAGACCCUGAAAAAUACAAAACUCGGCAUUAGUCUCGCUUUGAAAUGAAAUGCCUUUUUUUGUACCAAAAUCACACACACUUGCACCUUUUCACAUUGUGUUUUUGGAGAGAGCCAUCCACCCACACCCACACACACACACACACACACACACACAUGCUUGCUUUUCUUCAAUGACUGGUUUGUUUUCUGUGGAAAGUGAGGCCUCUUUUUAACACACAACUCUGUGAAUAAAGCAAAAUUUUACGGCCAAGAUGGGCCGAUGUUUAACCUUGAAAGAAAUUUUUGGGGGUGGGGGACCUUGAACUGCUCACAAAUACAAUAUUUUGUAUUUUGUUACAAAUAUUUUACUGAGUGUUAUUACCACUGGUUGUCUGAAUGUGAAUUCAUUUAACUAGGGAUGUCCUAGAGAGAAAGUGGGAUGAGUGAAGAAGGGAUGAACAGAAAGGGAGAGUGAUCGAGGACAGAGAAGCACCAAACAUACACUAGCUGGUAACUCAUCAGAAUGUAUGUACCUAUAACCAUAUUUAAUCAUAAAUUAUUCUGGGUUGAAGCCAAUCUCUACCUAUUGAAGAACAGCAUAAGACCUAUAUGGGAAAAGUAUGUCCCACAUCUGCCAAUGGCAGGGUUCUUACAUUUUCCUCUGAAACAUCUGGCACUGACCACUGUGAGAGACAGGGUAAUGUACUAGAUGGAUCAUUGGUCUGAGCCAGUCUGACAAAUCCUAUGUUCCUAUGACAACCUCUUAUUGAUCUAAUGACUCAGGAGCAAGGUGUAGUGUCUAGAGCAUGGGUGGGCAAACUACAGCCCACGAGCCGUUUUAAGCCGGCCUACAGCUCCUGUUGGGGAGCUGGGUCAGGGACCGGACCACGCUGCUGGGCCCCGCUCUGGCCAGGUCACUGGGUCGGGGCCUCACCACAUGGUGUGGCCCCGCUCCGGUGCUCCAACCAAGGCGCAGGGUCGGGGACUGCACCACGUGGCUCCCAGAAGCUGUGGCAUGGCCCCACUCCAGCUCCUACAUGCUCCAAUGGCCCCCUCUGGUGCUCCAAUGGGAGCUGCAGGUAUGGUGCCUGCAGAUGAAGCAGCAUGCAGAGCC